rnacentral:rRNA from 1 species
AACGCUGGCGGCGCGCCUAACACAUGCAAGUCGAACGAGAAAGUGGAGCAAUCCAUGAGUAAAGUGGCGUACGGGUGAGUAACACGUGGGUAAUCUACCUCUUAGUGUGGAAUAACCAUGGGAAACCGUGGCUAAUACCGCAUAAGCUCGAGAGAGGAAAGCAGCAAUGCGCUGAGAGAGGAGCCCGCGGCCGAUUAGUUAGUUGGCAGGGUAAAGGCCUACCAAGACCGAGAUCGGUAGCCGGCCUGAGAGGGCACACGGCCACACUGGCACUGAAACACGGGCCAGACUCCUACGGGAGGCAGCAGUGGGGAAUCUUGCACAAUGGGGGAAACCCUGAUGCAGCGACGCCGCGUGAGCGAUGAAGCCCUUCGGGGUGUAAAGCUCUUUCGGCAGGGAAGAUUAUGACGGUACCUGCAGAAGCA